rnacentral:rRNA from 1 species
UACGGAGGGGGCUAGCGUUGCUCGGAAUCACUGGGCGUAAAGCGCACGUAGGCGGCUUUUUAAGUCAGGGGUGAAAUCCUGGAGCUCAACUCCAGAACUGCCUUUGAUACUGAGAAGCUUGAGUCCGGGAGAGGUGAGUGGAACUGCGAGUGUAGAGGUGAAAUUCGUAGAUAUUCGCAAGAACACCAGUGGCGAAGGCGGCUCACUGGCCCGGUACUGACGCUGAGGUGCGAAAGCGUGGGGAGCAAACAGG